UGGGGGAUAUUGCGCAAUGGGGGCAACCCUGACGCAGCAACGCCGCGUGAAGGAUGAAGGUUUUCGGAUUGUAAACUUCUUUUAUUAAGGACGAAAUUUGACGGUACUUAAUGAAUAAGCUCCGGCUAACUACGUGCCAGGCAGCCGCGGUAAUACGUAGGGAGCAAGCGUUGUCCGGAUUUACUGGGUGUAAAGGGUGCGUAGGCGGCUUUGCAAGUCAGAUGUGAAAUCUAUGGGCUCAACCCAUAAACUGCAUUUGAAACUGUAGAGCUUGAGUGAAGUAGAGGCAGGCGGAAUUCCCCGUGUAGCGGUGAAAUGCGUAGAGAUGGGGAGGAACACCAGUGGCGAAGGCGGCCUGCUGGGCUUUAACUGACGCUGAGGCACGAAAGCGUGGGUAGCAAACAGGAUUAGAUACCCUGGUAGUCCACGCUGUAAACGAUGAUUACUAGGUGUGGGGGGUCUGACCCCUUCCGUGCCGGAGUUAACACAAUAAGUAAUCCACCUGGGGAGUACGGCCGCAAGGUUGAAACUCAAAGGAAUUGACGGGGGCCCGCACAAGCAGUGGAGUAUGUGGUUUAAUUCGAAGCAACGCGAAGAACCUUACCAGGUCUUGACAUCCAACUAACGAAGUAGAGAUACAUUAGGUGCCCUUCGGGGAAAGUUGAGACAGGUGGUGCAUGGUUGUCGUCAGCUCGUGUCGUGAGAUGUUGGGUUAAGUCCCGCAACGAGCGCAACCCUUGCUAUUAGUUGCUACGCAAGAGCACUCUAAUAGGACUGCCGUUGACAAAACGGAGGAAGGUGGGGACGACGUCAAAUCAUCAUGCCCCUUAUGACCUGGGCUACACACGUACUACAAUGGAUGUUAACAGAGGGAAGCAAGACAGUGAUGUGGAGCAAACCCCUAAAAACAUUCUCAGUUCAGAUUGCAGGCUGCAACCCGCCUGCAUGAAGAUGGAAUUGCUAGUAAUCGCGGAUCAGAAUGCCGCGGUGAAUACGUUCCC
rnacentral:rRNA from 1 species